rnacentral:lncRNA from 1 species
UAACAUGGGCUUGUCACCAAGUGGAGCAUUAAGGUAUUUGAAUAAUUUGGUAUUGAAUUCAAGGUUGAUAUUAUGAGCUAGCUUUGAUUUGCCCGUUUCCAAGUUGGGCAGUGGAUGCUACGUUUCAGGCUAACGCUUGAAUCAUAUUCUCCCUAAACUUGAGGGUAAUGCGUGAGGCUGGUUUCACAGAGCAGCGAUUACCUCUCACUCUCAACGGUGGAAGGAUUACAACUCAUUUGCUCAUAUUGUCAAUUAGCCUUGGAAUCCACCAAAUUCAACAAAUAUUUUUUAUUUUGUAAAUAGAAUCCAUAUUCUUUGUUUAUUUUUCAAUUCUACAAUAUAAAUAGCAAAUAUACGAAAAAAUACUAUUCAGUCAAAUUAAUAUGACCCUAAAAUAGGAAACUUGGUUUCUCUGACCAUUUCACCCCAUCUGAAGAUUUUUUUUUUAAAACUAAUAUAACAAAAUAAUACUAUAAGAAAUAAGAAAUAAUCCCACAUCGAAGAAAUUGAAAAAAGCUUUGUUGUUUAUAUACAAGAAAUCUAUAAAUCAAUCGCUGAGCUCGGUAACAUGGGCUUGUCACCAAGUGGAGCAUUAAGGUAUUUGAAUAAUUUGGUAUUGAAUUCAAGGUUGAUAUUAUGAGCUAGCUUUGAUUUGCCCGUUUCCAAGUUGGGCGGUGGAUGCUACGUUUCAGGCUAACGCUUGAAUCAUAUUCUCCCUAAACUUGAGGGUAAUGCGUGAGGCUGGUUUCACAGAGCAGCGAUUACCUCUUACUCUCAACGGUGGAAGGAUUACAAGUCAUUUGCUCAUAUUGUCAAUUACACUUGGAAUCCACCAAAUUCAACAAAUAUUUUUUAUUUUGUAAAUAGAAUCCAUAUUCUUUGUUUAUUUUUCAAUUCUACAAUUUAAAUAGCAAAUAUACGAAAAAAUACUAUUCAGUCAAAUUAAUAUGACC